UUCAACUUCGAAGUAAAGAAUAUCAUGUCAUGUCCAUUAUCGAUCAUAAUCAUUUAAAUUUUUAUAGAGUUCCAUUUCUUUAUUUUUUUAGUUUUAAUACUAAAAUCAUUUCUCAAAUUCAAUUUUAGGAAUUAGAUUCAUCCAUCUCCACGAACAGGUUUUUCAUUAGCAAGCAGCAGCAAUGAAAACGAAGCCUCCAACUCGCUCUCUUCAAUCUUCACAUUCUUUCUUAGUUUUUCCAACGAUUCCUUCAAUUUCAAAAGCUCAUUCAAAUCCAGAUCCUCAAUUUUCAUCAAUUCCCCUCUCGAUUUCAUCUCUUUCUCCAUAACCUCUCCCUUCUUCUUCUCCAUUUGCAACUGUUUAACCAGAUCUAAAAGUUCUUCAUUCUCCUUCUCCAACAUUCCCCUCUCCCUCACCGCCGUAUUCCGAUUCACCUUCCAUUCACAACUUAGGUAUCGAUCUACGACCUCCUCCACAUUUGGAUUGCCGAAUGAGAAUGCCUUACCGCCGGGAGAGAAAACGACAAUCGCGAUCUCUAAACCGCACAGAGUAGCGAGAUCGGUCGCUUUCUUGAACAGACCGUUUCGACGCUUCGAAAAGAUCAAUGGUUGGAUCGGGCUAGCUGAUGGCUUGUGCUUAAUUGUUUUGUAUAUAUAUAUAUAUAUAUAUAUAUAUACAUUUCUUUUAUUUUACAUUUAUUUUGGUUGUAAAUUUUGUGCUAUUUGAUAAUAAUUUAUUUUAGAAAAUUUGUC